UACACACCGCCCGUCGCUACUACCGAUUGAAUGGCUGAGUGAGGCCUUCGGACUGGCCCAGGGAGGUCGGCAACGACCACCCAGGGCCGGAAAGUUGGUCAAACUCCGUCAUUUAGAGGAAGUAAAAGUCGUAACAAGGUUUCCGUAGGUGAACCUGCGGAAGGAUCGUUAAAGAGUAAGGGUGCUCAGCGCCCGACCUCCAACCCUUUGUUGUUAAAACUACCUUGUUGCUUUGGCGGGACCGCUCGGUCUCGAGCCGCUGGGGAUUCGUCCCAGGCGAGCGCCCGCCAGAGUUAAACCAAACUCUUGUUAUUAAACCGGUCGUCUGAGUUAAAAUUUUGAAUAAAUCAAAACUUUCAACAACGGAUCUCUUGGUUCUCGCAUCGAUGAAGAACGCAGCGAAAUGCGAUAAGUAAUGUGAAUUGCAGAAUUCAGUGAAUCAUCGAAUCUUUGAACGCACAUUGCGCCCCUUGGUAUUCCGAGGGGCAUGCCUGUUCGAGCGUCAUUACACCACUCAAGCUAUGCUUGGUAUUGGGUGCCGUCCUUAGUUGGGCGCGCCUUAAAGACCUCGGCGAGGCCACUCCGGCUUUAGGCGUAGUAGAAUUUAUUCGAACGUCUGUCAAAGGAGAGGAACUCUGCCGAUUGAAACCUUUAUUUUUCUAGGUUGACCUCGGAUCAGGUAGGGAUACCCGCUGAACUUAAGCAUAUCAAUAAGCGGAGGA
rnacentral:rRNA from 1 species